GUAGGUAUAGUUCAACCAGAACGUUAGAUUGUGAUUCUAAAAAUAGUGGUUAAACUCCACUUACCCACC
rnacentral:tRNA from 1 species